rnacentral:rRNA from 1 species
UACAGAGGGGGCUAGCGUUGUUCGGAAUUACUGGGCGUAAAGGGCGCGUAGGCGGCCCGCUAAGUCGAACGUGAAAUCCCCGGGCUCAACCCGGGAACUGCGUCCGAUACUGGCAGGCUUGAAUCCGGGAGAGGGAUGUGGAAUUCCAGGUGUAGCGGUGAAAUGCGUAGAUAUCUGGAGGAACAUCGGUGGCGAAGGCGGUCGACUGGGCCAGUUCUGACACUCAUCCGCGAAAGCGUGGGGAGCAAACAGG